rnacentral:rRNA from 1 species
CCUACGGGCGGCAGCAGUGAGGAAUAUUGGUCAAUGGACGAGAGUCUGAACCAGCCAAGUAGCGUGAAGGAUGUCUGCCCUAUGGGUUGUAAACUUCUUUUAUAUGGGAAUAAAAUGUUCCACGUGUGGGAUUUUGUAUGUACCAUAUGAAUAAGGAUCGGCUAACUCCGUGCCAGCAGCCGCGGUAAUACGGAGGAUCCGAGCGUUAUCCGGAUUUAUUGGGUUUAAAGGGAGCGUAGGUGGAUUGUUAAGUGAGUUGUGAAAGUUUGCGGCUCAACCGUAAAAUUGCAGUUGAAACUGGCAGUCUUGAGUACAGUAGAGGUGGGCGGAAUUCGUGGUGUAGCGGUGAAAUGCUUAGAUAUCACGAAGAACUCCGAUUGCGAAGGCAGUUCACUGGACUGCAACUGACACUGAGGCUCGAAAGUGUGGGUAUCAAACAGGAUUAGAUACCCGAGUAGUC